ACAAACAAAAAAAAACCCCACCAGGAACAUCUGAAGUGACCGCUGGCGAUCUCUCUCUCUCUCUCUGAGACACCACACUGAAAAGUCAACGCAGAUUUAAGGCCAUAUUUUAUUAUAGGAAAAACAAGCAAGGCUGCUUCAUUUGCAUGCUGCGCCGUUAUCUGCACACAAAGCACGCGCGCGCACACACCCGUCCUUUAAUCUCAAAGGUUGUCAGGGAAAGUGUAUUUUAACCAUGCUUUAUUAUUAUUAUUCAUUUUUAUUUUACGAGGGAUGGUAAGAAGUAAGUGACCUGAUUUGAAGAAACUAUUGAGACAACUGAGAGGUCUCACAAGCUGCAUUGUGGGAACCCGGAAACAGAACAUCUGUGCAAACAUCCUCUUUUAUAUAUGGAAAUGAAACGUUUCACACACACACAAACACACACCUCCUUUUUCAUGUAAUUUUCUUCCCACGUCUGUUUCUCAAUUUCCAGCCGUUCCCGCUGAGCCUUCAUUUCCACCUAAAAAUAAAAACAUCCCCCCCAACACAACACAGGACACGUGUUAUUUUGUUACCAGGAAUGCACUAUGACUAACAAGUCAAAAAAACAUUACAGCAUUCAGCAAAUAAUUCUUGAGUUCUGCUUCUGCACAUGUGGUAUAUAACAGAGAACUGGUGUGAAGGUUAGUGAAAGCCGCCAUGCCUGCCACUGUUCCUGUUCAUUUUUGCCGGACUUGCCAAAAGAAAUGCCACGUAUGUUAUAUCUGAAUAUAUUUUGCAAUUACUAAAUCAUGGUUAUAUAAUUGUAAAUUAUUUAUUUAUUAAAAUGUGGACUUGUCUAAAGUAAAAGUGAACAAGAUUUCAACGAGCAGCUAAGGUUAUAAGUCUCUGCUGGUCAUAAACAGAUUUUAAAUGAAAGUGUUAGCAUGGAGAUAUAUUGCCUUUGCCUCCCACAGAAUAACUGGAGGAAGACUGUUACACAUAAGUGAUUUUUUAGAGGUUCAUAUAUAUUUCGAUAUUUAAUUCAAUUUUAACUCUCCAAUUUUUAGAAAAAUACAAGAUAUUGUCUAGUCACCUGGGCCCAUUACUGUAAUAAAUCAUUAUGAUUUUUUUUUCUUUCAUAGACAGUUUGGUUUUGUCUACAAAACAAAUCCCAAUUAAAGCAUAUUUUUGUUUCCGACUCCAAUGAACACCCAAGAUUUCUUAAAAUUCGUUUUUCUUUUCCCAUUAUAGAAUGCAUAGAAAGUGUCAGAUCUAAAUUGUGGACAUUUUGUAUUGUCAAGAACUCCAUGUCUGGUCAACAGUAAGAAUUUUAGACCUUGAUGUUAAGCUGAAUGUAUAAAUAGACAUGAAUGUAAAAACCUAUAGGAGGAUUUGAGAAGAAGAAUAAUUUGUAAAAAUGCCCCCCUCACACACACACAGUUGUUUAUAUUGAAUGCAUUUUAAUAAUAACCAUCUAAAGAAUCUAGAUGUGUUUUCAUGAAAAGGUUCAUGCAUAAUUUAAAUCCUGUGCAUGGUUUAUUUAGAUGACGGGAAAAAGUUAAACAAUAAAAGGGUACAAAUAUAUAAAGCAGUUUUGCAUAAGCAUUGUGUGUUCUUGACUCAGAUCCAGUAACAUUUAAUGGUCUCUCUAAGCUUCUGGACCAUUUGCAUUAUGCCCAUCUAUGACUUACAGAUAAUGGCUUUGAUUUUUGAUAUAUCUGCCCUUUCCAGACAAAAUGGAAGGGUGCAACUCAAUCCAGCUACACUUAUUAAGCUCUCAGGUUCGCUAUGUAAUGAAAGGGCCGAGUACAGCACUUGAUACAGCUGUAGUAUGCAGCAUGUAGUGUAGAGUAUGAAUCAUCUUGCAAGGUUGACUUCUGCAGCACAAGGUGUAAUUAUGCACAAUUUUUUUAAAUAGCUUUCCGAAUA